rnacentral:rRNA from 1 species
AUUGAACGCUGGCGGCAUGCUUUACACAUGCAAGUCGAACGGUAACAGGGUGCUUGCACCGCUGACGAGUGGCGAACGGGUGAGUAAUGCGUCGGAACGUGCCGAGUAGUGGGGGAUAACGCAGCGAAAGUUGUGCUAAUACCGCAUACGUACUGAGGUAGAAAGUGGGGGACCUUCGGGCCUUACGCUAUUCGAGCGGCCGACGUCUGAUUAGCUAGUAGGUGAGGUAAAGGCUCACCUAGGCGACGAUCAGUAGCGGGUCUGAGAGGAUGGUCGGCGACACUGGGACUGAGACACGGCCCAGACUCCUACGGGAGGAAGCAGUGGGGAAAUUUGGACAAUGGGCGACAGCCUGAUCCAGCCAUGCCGCGUGUCUGAAGAAGGCCUUCGGGUUGUAAAGGACUUUUGUCAGGGAGGAAAUCCCUAGUGCUAAUAACACUGGGGGAUGACAGUACCUGAAGAAUAAGCACCGGCUAACUACGUGCCAGCCGCCGCAGUAAUAC